rnacentral:rRNA from 1 species
CCUACGUGUGGCAGCAGUGAGGAAUAUUGGUCAAUGGCCGGAAGGCUGAACCAGCCAAGCCGCGUGAAGGACGAAGGUGCCAAGCAUUGUAAACUUCUUUUGUCAAGGGACCAAAUCAGGCUCGAGAGCCUGACCGAGGGUACUUGAAGAAAAAGCAUCGGCUAACUCCGUGCCAGCAGCCGCGGUAAUACGGAGGAUGCGAGCGUUAUCCGGAUUUAUUGGGUUUAAAGGGUGCGUAGGCGGGCUGUUAAGUCAGCGGUAAAAGCCCGGGGCUCAACCCCGGCGAGCCGUUGAAACUGGCAAACUGGAGUGUGUGAGAGGAUAGUGGAAUUCCAGGUGUAGGAGUGAAAUCCGUAGAUAUCUGGAGGAACAUCAGUGGCGAAGGCGACUAUCUGGCACAUAACUGACGCUGAGGAGCGAAAGCGUGGGUAGCAAACAGGAUUAGAUACCCCGGUAGUC